GAAAGGAAGGCUAAUACUGGAUAAUACUUGAGAUCGAGUGAUUUUAAGUUAAAAGAUUUAUCGCUGAGGGAUGAGUCUGCGUACCAUUAGCUAGUUGGUGGGGUAAAUGCCUACCAAGGCUUCGAUGGUUAGCGGGUCUGAGAGGAUGAUCCGCCACACUGGAACUGAGACACGGUCCAGACUCCUACGGGAGGCAGCAGUGGGGAAUUUUGCGCAAUGGGGGCAACCCUGACGCAGCAAUACCGCGUGAGUGAAGAAGGCCUUUGGGUCGUAAAGCUCUUUUCUGAGGGAAGAUAGUGACGGUACCUCAGGAAUAAGCACCGGCUAACUCCGUGCCAGCAGCCGCGGUAAUACGGAGGGUGCGAGCGUUGUUCGGAUUCACUGGGCGUAAAGGGCGCGUAGGCGGCCUAGCAAGUUAAGGGUGAAAUCCCGGGGCUCAACCCCGGAACCGCUCUUAAAACUGCUAAGCUAGAGAUAGUCAGAGGCGGGUGGAAUUCCUAGUGUAGAGGUGAAAUUCGUAGAUAUUAGGAGGAACACCGGUGGCGAAGGCGGCCCGCUGGGGCUAUUCUGACGCUAAGGCGCGAAAGCG
rnacentral:rRNA from 1 species